CAUUCAGUAGCCUCGCUACUUGUUUAUACCCUUGUUUUUUUGCGUACUAUUGUUUCCUCGGCGGGCUUGCCUGCCGGUUGGACAAAACUAUAAACCUUUUUAAAUCUUCAAUCAGCGUCUGAAUUAUACAUAAUAAUUA
rnacentral:misc_RNA from 1 species